GAGGAUGAAAUCAUUAGAUAUUUCAUUUACGAUGAAAGUUUGCGUUAGCCAUCUUUA
rnacentral:tRNA from 1 species